UGGGGAAUAUUGCGCAAUGGGGGAAACCCUGACGCAGCGACGCCGCGUGUGGGAUGAAGGUCUUCGGAUUGUAAACCACUGUCGCGAGGGACGAAGCUCUGACGGUACCUCGAAAGGAAGCACCGGCUAACUCUGUGCCAGCAGCCGCGGUAAUACAGAGGGUGCGAGCGUUGUCCGGAAUCACUGGGCGUAAAGGGCGCGUAGGCGGCCCGGUAAGUAGGGGGUGAAAUCUCAUGGCUCAACUGUGAGGCUGCCUUCUAGACUGCCAGGCUUGAGCACAGUAGAGGCGAGUGGAAUUCCCGGUGUAGCGGUGGAAUGCGUAGAGAUCGGGAGGAACAUCGGUGGCGAAGGCGGCCAGCUGGGCCGUUGCUGACGCUGAGGCACGAAAGCGUGGGGAGCGAACAGGAUUAGAUACCCCCGUAGUCCCUGAGCGGGCUGGCAAGGCGCAU
rnacentral:rRNA from 1 species